rnacentral:lncRNA from 1 species
CAGUUCUGCCAACGAUUUAUCUUCAGAAGACAAGCAGAUGAGGAGACAAAACCUACUGAUGUGGGUACCCAAGCAGGAACCCCCCUCUUGCACCGGCGACUCACGUGGGAAGAAGAAUUCACUGAGCUGAAAUGGAGUGAGAGCUAAGAUGCUCUCAGAAUAUUCUUAAAAUGACUGUGCUGCAAAGAAGCCCGGGUGAAUAGAAGAAAAUAGAAGGAAUGGUGGAUACAAGUGAAGGUUAAAAUGAGACCCCAUUUAUCGCACCAGCUGUUGGUGAUUUCAGCGCACCUUUCCAAGCCUCUUGAGAGUUCUGCUCUAACCACACUGCCCCCUAGUGUUCUCUCGCUUUGGUGCAACGUCCGUCUUGUACACUUCCUUCCACAGACCUGUAAUCAGCUAUUUCUUCAGGGAGCCUGUGAUUCCUUUUAGUGGAAAAUGUGCAGGUUUCUCAUACUUCCGGAGAAAUAGAAAGCACCAGAUGACAGCCACCACACACUUUUGUCCCCAUUGCAAUAGGAUGCUUCUAACAAUCGUAAAAUUAUGAAACACUGAAUUCCUUAAAAGUUGUCCAUUUGUGGAUUUAUCUGAUGGUAACUAUUAAAUAUUUAAAAGUAACUUUAAUGAAUCUACUUAUGAUGAUUGAGUAAUCUAUUCUCUGAAUUCCACCAAAAAACCAUUUUAUGACCACAGUCAUAACGAACAUAUUUCUAUAGUCCUAAGCUGGCAAGAUAAAUAGAGAACAGUUCAUAAUAUAAACAAUAUAUUUAUUUAUUCCUAAACUAAUAAGAUGACUAUCAAUCUGUAAGAGACUAUGAAAAUCAAUACCGUAUACUUGGUAUAGUUGGUGAGAAUUUCAGGAGC